rnacentral:rRNA from 1 species
AACGAACGCUGGCGGCAUGCCUAACACAUGCAAGUCGAACGAGACCUUCGGGUCUAGUGGCGCACGGGUGCGUAACGCGUGGGAACCUGCCCUAGGGUCGGAAUAACUCCCCGGAAGGGGUGCUAAUACCGGAUAAUGUCUUCCGACCAAAGAUUUAUCGCCUUUGGAUGGGCCCGCGUUGGAUUUGCUAGUUGGUAGGGUAAAAGCCUACCAAGGCGACGAUCCAUAGCUGGUCUGAGAGGAUGAUCAGCCACACUGGGACUGAGACACGGCCCAGACUCCUACGGGAGGCAGCAGUGGGGAAUAUUGGACAAUGGGCGAAAGCCUGAUCCAGCAAUGCCGCGUGAGUGAUGAAGGCCUUAGGGUUGUAAAGCUCUUUUACCCGGGAUGAUAAUGACAGUACCGGGAGAAUAAGCUCCGGCUAACUCCGUG